AUUGAACGCUGGCGGCAGGCCUAACACAUGCAAGUCGAGCGAGCGGCGGACGGGUGAGUAAUGCCUAGGAAUCUGCCUGGUAGUGGGGGAUAACGUCCGGAAACGGGCGCUAAUACCGCUUACUAUCGGAUGAACCCAUCUGGGAUUAGCUAGUAGGUGGGGUAAAGGCUCACCUAGGCGACGAUCUCUAGCUGGUCUGAGAGGAUGAUCAGUCCAGAUGAAAAUGAGACACGGCCCAGACUACUAGGGGAGGCAGCAGUGGGGAAUAUUGCACAAUGAGCGCAAGCCGGAUGCAGCCAUGCCGCGUGUAUGAAGAAGGCCUUAAGGUUGUAAAGUACUUUCAGCGGAGAGGCGUUACCCGCAGAAGAAGCACCAGCUAACUAAGUGCCAGCAGCCGCGGUAAUAC
rnacentral:rRNA from 1 species